UGAUAUUUGUAGGAGAAGGAAAUCCCACAACCGUGACCACUCGGCGAGAGAAUUCACCAGCGACUGGAAGUGAGGAAGUAAUGUAAAGGAAAAUCCUACUGUUUCAAAGUGAAUUCCCAAAAGGAAGUGGAGUUCACCAUGGGUCUUCCAUUGGCAGACGAAGACCAGGGGAGGCAGGAACAUAGUGAAGAAAACGAACAAGCACGUCCGUUACCAGGGGUUCCGUUCAAUCAAAUUAUUACUGACCGACUACACAGGACACAACACGAUAAUCGACGGAACUCUUUACCUCCAGGUUUUCUGGAACAACUUGAUGUCAAGAGUGUGUGUGGCCAAAUUCUCCGCUUCAUGGGUGAUGAACACUUUUCUAAAACUUGUGGCCGCCAUCUGAGGUGUAUGGGAGACGAGAUAUCUCAUUUGUACUGGUUAAAGAAAACUGUGAUGGGGCCACAACAAAACGCACCAAAUCAAGAACAAUCACUUUCACACAAUUCGCAUUCUUUACCAGAUUUACGAAGCAUGAGAUCAGAACAACAACAGGGUGGAAGGAAUGACAAUUAAUUUCUGAUUUUGUGCAAAUAUUAUAAAAAAAAAUUAUCAUUUAUUGAGAAAUUAAAGCUUCCAUGAUAUUUAUAGUAUUAAGUGAUUACCAAGUCUUAGAAACAAGUUGAUGUACAAUUGUUAAUUACUGUACAUCGUCAAAUGAUUAAGAUUCAUAUUGAGCACAGGAACUUUGCAUGUAUUCCCAACCCAUAGUUCAUAUUCAUAUAUAUGAUAGUUAUAUAUAGACCUUGUGAUAUUGAGGACAUGCUAUACACAAAUUUAUAGAUUUUAGUUCUAUUAAAGAACUGGACAUUUUUAAUCUAGCCUGUAAUGCAUGUACAUAGUUAUACUAAAGUGAACAGGAAUUGGAAUCAUAAUAUCUGGAUGUGUAUGAUUUUGUUUAGUAUACGUAGUUGUCAUUAUAUGACAAUGUGAUGUUUAAUUUAUUGGGUUGUCACUUAUAUAACAAUGUCUGGUUUCCUUUAUCUGCAUAAUGUAGUAAUAUCAGCUUAAUACGGUAAUAUAUAUGUUCCUAUGGUUGUCUGUUGGACAAUGUGGGGUUUCCAAAUCUUUUAUUAUUAAUAUUCUUGUAUUAUUUUUUUUUGCAUUUCAACAGAUUUUAAUUAUACGAGUACCAGUUGGAUUAAACAGCAGACUGGAGCUUGUGGCUUAUUUAACUACCAUAUUCAACCUAAUAAUUGCAUCCGCAUCAUUUUUUCCAUGAACAGAGGUUUGGUGUGAUAUCAAAACUUCCUUAUCUUUUUAUCUGGCGAUAUAUCCUCAGUAUAACCAAAGAUGUUAUUCACUACAUCUAGAUAUGUAAAUAAAGACAUAUUUUUUCAUACCCAGAUUUCACAUGGAAACAUUUGACUCUGCACAUGGUUUUUAAUAUAUUUAGCGUUUUGCGAGCAUGCGAUGCCCUUACUAGGAAGAAUAUAGCACAUGUACAAUAAGUCUUCAGACCGAGAUAUACAUGGAAACCAUGAUAGGUUUCCAGGCCAAAUAUAGUUGUUACUGUAGGAUCAUUUGGAAUUUAUUUGGUUGUCAACAACGUACCUUUAGUACAGUGUACUACAUAACAUCAGAUAAUGUGUAUACAUGUAUAUAUAAGUAUAUUAUAAGUUCCUCAGGACAGUAACCUCUGACCUAACUUACCGGGUAUUAUGAACAAAAAUAACAUUCCACUGUUGUUUUAUAUUUCCGAACUUCCCUCCUGUUAAAUGGCAAUUAUUUUUAAAAUUAUUACUUUGUUGUUUUGUUUACAUUUUAAUUAUUUGUGUUGUUAUAUACUUGUCAGCCUAUAUGAUAUCCUAGAUAAACGAUUUAAACUAAUUUUAUUUAGGUUGUUAAACUACAUUAAUUUAUUAUUGGUGUGCAAGAUUUAGACAAAAUCUUCUAAAUACGGUAUGUAAUACUCGGGAGAUAUGGCAUGGAUGACAUUGAUCGUCAGGCUGGUGUCACAGUUUGUUUAGCGUUUCUAACUUUGCUCGUGGGGAUUGUUACUAUUUUGAUACUCCUAGAUAUUUACUCGUGAUACUAGAAAAAAGUUCAACAAUUUUUAAAUGAAAUUGAGAGAAUAUUAAAACAAAUUUUUAAUAAAAUGGAUGAGAUGCAUGUAUGUGUACAUGGUAACAGUAAUGUAUGUGUUACGAUGUAUCUGAGAGAAAGUCGUAGUGGAGAAUUGUUCUGACAAUAAUAUUUGAUAGUCUGUUCUGGAAUUUUCGAAGUUCGGUUGUGAAAGUAAGUUUUUACAAGGCUGGCGCACGUGCCUGACAGGCGAGCGACUGUUUGAAAUGAUUAUUACACAAAGUUGUCAAAAGUGCCAUCAAUUGGGAUAUUAUAUAUAGUUAUUGCUGUACUGGGUAUUACCUUGGUAACCAGGGGCCGCGGUGGCCGAGUGGUUAAGGUGUCCCGACACUUAAACACUAGCCCUCCACCUCUGGGUUGCGAGUUCGAAACCUACGUGGGGCAGUUGCCCAGGUACUGACCGUAGGCCGGUGGUUUUUCUCCGGGUACUCCGGCUUUCCUCCACCUCCAAAACCUGGCACGUCUUUAAAUGACCCUGGCUGUUAAUAGGACGUUAAACAAAAAACAAAACAAACAAACCAAACCUUGGUAAACACAAUACAGUGUUAAAUCCUUGGUAAGCACGAUAGUGUUUAAACCUUAGCUUUGUAUUAGAUAAUUAAAACCCUAUGUAAGCUCAUCAUUCUGUUAAAACUGAUGAUUGUAGUUACAGAUGUUGGUUUUGUAACAUCAAUAAAAAAUAUAUAAGUCAUA